AUUGCUAGCCCAUUGUAGUAUUGAGCUCGUCCGAAAGCGAGUUAACGAACAUUCGUACGAGAAGCUGCUAACAGCCGAAGUACGCAAAUUGGGCACGUUCGUUGGCUCAUUGGCUCGAUCGGAGCGGAGUACUUAAAUAUAACGUUGUGUCCGGUUUUGAGCCAACAUCAUUCCAUAACUGAGCGUUCUCAGCCGCAGUCGAGUUGUAGCAGCAGCGGGCCACCUAAAACACCUAACUCAACCCAGAUAACUCAGCGCUACAACAAAUCUAAGAAGAAACACAAAAAUUAAUAACUAUAGCUAAAAUAUUGGCGU